UUGCCGUAAAAAAGACAAACGCAUGGUCAAGAGCCUCUCACUCUCAUUUUAUCAGACGCCCGGUGGCACACAUUCUAAAACCCUAAAGCAAACCCUCUCCCGACAAGACGACGCCUCCGAAGCCUCGUCCCUCUCCCUCCAUGGCCACCAAGAAGCGCAAGGUCGACCAAGAGGACGACCUCCUCUCCGCUCCCAACCACGACGUCGAUCCCCAAUCCCUCGAUUCCUCCGCUGCCGCCGCCGCUGCCGCCGCCGGCGGUGGGCUGGCGGCACCGCCUCCGGAUGCGGUGGAGGACGACGAGGCCGACGAAGAGGAGGAGGACGUCGGAAGGCUCCUGGAGCCCCUCUCGAAGGAGCAGCUGAUCUCGCUCCUCCGCUCCGCCGCCGCCAUGGACUCUGCCACCCUUGCCGAGAUCCACCGACUCGCCGAUCUGGACCCUGCCCACCGGAAGCUCUUCGUCCAUGGCCUGGGGUGGGACACCACCUCCGACGGCCUCCGCGCCGCUUUCACCCGCUACGGUGAGAUCGAGGACUGCCGCGUCGUCGUCGACAAGGCCACCGGCCGCUCUAAGGGCUACGGUUUCCUCCUCUUCCGCCACCGCCGCUCAGCCCGCCGUGCCCUCCUCCAACCCCAGAAGCUCAUCGACAACCGCAUGACCGCCUGCCAGCUCGCCUCUACCGGCCCCCCCGGCGCCAGCUCCCACCCCCCGCCAUCCCAUCACCACAUCGCCUCCUCCAACCCUAACCCUAACCUUAACCCUAGCGUGGCCCUCCAGGACAACCUCCCGAGGAAGAUCUACGUUGGGAACGUCCACUCCAACAUCGACGGCGCCCGCCUCCAUGCCUUCUUCUCCAAGUACGGGGAGAUCGAGGAGGGCCCUAUUGGCUUCGAUCGCCAGACGGGGAAGCCCAAGGGAUUCGCUCUCUUCGUCUAUAAAACGGUGGAGGGUGCUCGGAGGGCCCUCGAGGAACCCAACAAGAACUUCGAGGGCCACCUGCUCUACUGCCAGAAGGCCACCGAUAGCAAGACUAAGACAGCAGCUGGGGCGGCGGUGGCGGCCCCCCCGUCUAAUACCGCCACUGCUCCGAAUGUGCCAUCGAGCAUGAGUGGUUUCAAUGCGUCUGGAUAUGGUGGCACCACGCCGGAUAUGGGUUUGGCGCAACAAGCUGCGCUUUUGGGGCAAGGGCUUCUGGGUGUCGGUGGGACACAAGCCUUUGGACAAGGGGUACCGCCAAAUGCUGCAGCGCUCGCAAUGCUUGCAGCAGCAGGGCAGAAUCCUGGAUCUUUCGCUAUCAAUCCUGCCGUGCUUGCAUCACUGAACCCUGCUUUGGCCGCAGCAUUGGGUGCCGGAGGCCAGCAGGCCGUGCCUCCUUCUGCAGCCUCUCAGACAGCACCAGUACAGAGUUUUGGAACGGCGAACAUGGGGUACCAGAAUGCUGGGUUUCAGGGGCCUCCAGGGUUUCAAGGGCCUCCAGGUUUUCAAGGUCCUCCAGGGUUUCAGGGUCCUCCGGGAUUUCAAGCCAAUCAGCCGGUGUCUCAACAGGGUGUUGGUGGAACUGGCGGUUCUUAUCAGACGGGGCCUGUUGGACAGGGCCCGCUGCAAAGGCCAUCAGUCGGGCACAUGGGUGGAUAUGCACCGCAUUAAGGUUCAACUGUGCAGCAUGGCAUACAUUCCAUCGUUUGAUCUCUGAACUUGUCCAUUGAUAGAUGAGGUUCCAUCAACACUAUGUUAUGCUGUAGACAUACUCUCACUGCAUCACUUUUGCUUCAUACCCUUACAAGGAUAACAAACUGAGCUUCUGGCUAUUAGAAUUACCAGUGAAAGGAGGCAGUAGUUAUUUGAUGAAGGUGAAGUAAUGACAGGGAUGUUUCUGUUAGAAGUUAACUGUUGGUACGGGAAACUAAAAGGUGAUGCCAUGCAAAGAGUUAGCAAAAUUCUAAUCGGAAUGUUUUGAGAACAAUAGGUACAUGGAGAAGGGGAAGACCGAAGAAGAUUGGACAUACGUAAUAGGGUGGGAUCGCACUCAUGUCUUAAGGAACUUGGCAUGAGACUUGCAGCUGCAGCAACCUUCUAUUUUAUGUUCUGCAUCUUUUGCUAAUUGUAUAUAUGUGGUUGAGGGCCACUUUUAUUCCAACGCGGACCGAGUGGAGGUCUCAGAUGCGGCCGUUAAAUAUCGGAAAUGAGGCAAUCUUGAAUUUUUGGAGAGACUGCUUGAUGCUUCCAGGCCACAACGAGAAAAGUGGAAAAAUAGGCAAAAAAAAAAAAGCUGGACCAUCUGAAUGGUGAUUCUGAGGUAGUAUAUAUGGAUGUUAUUAUAAUUCCUAUAAUAAAAGAGAAAAAACUAUAAUAAUUCCCAAUACAUUUUCUACCAUGAAUUCCAGUCUGUCAGGCGCUAUGGGCGGCAACACCUCUGUCACACUUCCCAAAAGAAUGACCUGGAAAUGUCUUGUCGUACCCGUAGCAUUCUCACAUAAUUUCAGCUGACAGUUCUUUCUUUCCUUACUGCUGUAUAUUGUAAUCUUUGUCUAGCAGCCAAUUGUGUUGCCACUGAGAAAGAUGUCUGCUGAACUGCAGGCACGUGUAUCAUGAUCCCUGUGCUUAACUACAACAGAAUCAACCACUAAAUUCCAUUUGGCUGAUAAAUGUGAUUCCGCGCUAUUUUUUAUUGUCUAAUAAGAGAACUGAAUUCAGCUACUCACUAAUCAUCAGAAAACAUCACUGCGAAGAGAGAAACCAAGAGUAUGCCACGUAGCAUGUAACCAGGCAGGUUAUACGCGCGGUUACAAUUCUUGUUUUUGUUUUACAGAUGGUGGUGCUCGGGACAACCAGGCAGCUUGUAAGCACCUUAAUAAAUUGUCUG